CAGCACUGUGGAGGUGGCAGCACUGGGAGAGGCGGGAACAGGGAGAGGGGAGACCCGUGGCCAGAGAGGAAGCCAACGUGUGCCUGCCUGCUUUGGAAGUGUUUCCCUGCCUGUUGAGUGCCCUGGGAGGCUUGUGGUGCCCCUGUAAACUUGUAAAGCAGUGUACUUGCGGAGGAUUUGUCGAUAAACCCAGGAAAUAGUGCCCGUGUUUUCCCUUGUGCCCCAGCUGUGCCCCGGCCUCGUGUGUGUGUGUGUGUGUGUGUGUUGUCCCGGCGUUUAUAGUGUGACUUAUUUGAGGCCCCGCUGCUCUAGUUUCUUGACCUGUGCCCGUGUGGAUAACACGCCCGCCCGGAGUGAGGGGUGGGCACAACAGUAUUAUUAGAAACAUGAACCGUCUAACAGCCACGAAAAAAAAAUUAAAUUUUUUCGUAUGAAGCAAAAAUCACGAAUUUGGCUUUCUAAACUAACCUAAUUCACUCACCCUUCUCUCUCUCUCUCUCUCUCUCUCUCUCUCUCUCUCUCUCUCUCUCUCUCUCUCUCUCUCUCUCUGUCAAAUGUGCAGGUAUGGCAGUCCAUGGAAGUAAUGUUUGGCAGAGCAAAGGACUGACUUGUGUUCCUUGUUGAUAACAAACAAACAUGAGCAGGCAGGGUGUAGUAAUGUUUUGAUGCUACACUGAUGCAUUGACAAAUAAUAAUCAUAAAUGGUUUAUUAAUAAUCCAGUUAGGACUAAAUUUAUAUUGUACUUAAUAAAAAAUAAAAUGUGAUAAAUAUACGCUUAAAAUUAGGAUCUUAUUAACUAAGGUGGUAUUACAGGAGGAGGAGGAGGAGGAGAAGGUUUUGUAUUGCUGUAUAGGAGGAGGAAGAGAUUUUGUGUUGCUGGCAAGAGGAAGAGAUUUUGUGUUGCUGGGAAGGGGAAGAAGAAAUUUUAGGUAGUGAUGGAGAAUGUGGGUCCCUCCUGGCUGGGUCCUGCACAGCAAUACAAAACCGUAGUGGUUGAGGGCCGUAGUGACUGGUUCCCAUCCUGGUGGUAUGAGUUGCCAGCGCUGCAUCUCUUCUACAGUGCUGCCAUGCCAGGUGAGAUAAACUGUGCAGGGGACAAGGUGUUGGUGGCUUGAGGUGGGCAGGGCAGCAAUCCCAGCAACCAGUACAAUGGGCAGAAGGGACAGGGACACAUUGUGAAGCUGGAACUGAAGCUGUUGGCCGAUGUGGGUCUGGUGGGCUUCCCUAACGCUGGCAAGUCCACACUGCUGUGGGCCAUCUCCAGGGCCAGACCCAAGGUGGCCAGCUACCCCUCAUAGAUAAUAUUGUGAGAUGGAGGCAGUUGGCCAAGUGAAUAAGCAAGUUUGGAUAAUCUGAUUCAAGGUUUGUUAUGUUCACUUUAAGACAAGAACAUCAUCCAUUGCAUAACUCAGGUCAAGGGCAAAAGGAAAUCAAGUGCUUGUAAACUUUACCUUAAUAUAUUCAACAAUUUAUAGCAAACAAAGCUACCUAUUGAAAAAUGAAAGGAUAGACAGGCCAGCAGAUGUUACAUCACAGCAGUUUGACAAACAGAUUAAGUACUCUCAUGAUUCACUACUAGACUAGCAACAGUCACUUAUUAUUCCAUUUGUCACCAAUACACUCCUCCCUCCAACAGGAAAUAAUAACAUACACCAUAAACUCACAAUGGUUGAUAAUCACUGACAAACCACAAAGCACUUCACACACACACACACACACACACACACACACACACACACACACACACACACACACACACACACACACACACACACACACACACACACACACACACACACACACACACACACACACACACACACACACACACACACA